rnacentral:lncRNA from 1 species
UCAAAUCUGACUAGUAUUCUUGUAAGAUAACCGACAUGUAACCCUGCUCCCCGGUAUAUAAGGGCGGGCAGGGACCCCUUCUAGACAAGUUCAAUCCAAGAAAAGCAAACAACACAUAGGACAUAGGGUAUUACACGAUCUAGUGGCCCAAACCUGUCUAAAUUGCAUGCCUACGUAUACCAUCGAGUUCCUAAUUUUGAUGACACCCACCAACCAAAACUCUACCUCAGGUACUCCCUUGGUAGGUUACAAGAUUU